GUUUUUGGUUGCGGGACAUCACCGUGUUGUUGUGUUUUGUCGAGUGAAAACUGCGGUUCUGGUCCUGCUGGGCUCCAAGUCUGAGCUUCUGCUGCAGCCACAGCAUCUUCUCCAUCCGCAUCCUGAGAGUGGAGGACGGCGAGCCGCCACCAGUCCACGCCGUCAGCGCGUUGUGUCUGUGCCACCUGGCAGGCUCUGAGCGCAGCUCCAGGACCCAGAACAAAGGAGAGGACCUGAAGGAGGCUGGAAACAUCAACGCCUCGCUGCUCAUUCUGGGCAAAUGCAUCAAGGCUCUGCAGCACAACCAGCACACCAGGCUCCUGCAGCACGUCCCAUUAAGGGAGAGCAAGCUGACCCACUACCUGCAGGGCUUCUUCUGCAGCAGCAGCAAGGCCUGCAUGGUGGUCAACGUCAGCCAGUGUGCCUCCAUGUACCACGAGACCCUCAACGUCCUCAAGUUGUUGAGCCUUAAGUUCUGAUAUCCAGUUAGAACAUCAGUUCACUCCCAAACAUUUAGCACUGCUGUCUUUGUAAAAUGAACUGAGCAGCAAUCUAAUCACAACGGGGAAGCAGCCAUUAUGUUUUUGACUCAGACGAUUCAUCAGCCUACCUUCCCUAAGAUCACCGCUGCAUGACUGAAGAACUUCCCCUGGAGCCGCAGCACCAGAGCGCUCUGAGGUCUCGGUAGAGCCGCUUGAUGUAGUCAGGAUCCAGCAGAGUGAACGCUGGACUUGCUUUGGCUUGAACGGACAUCAGCCUCCAUGAAUACCAGGUCAUCCAUGUUGCUGUUCAUUAACACCGUGCUAACUUUUCCACUGUGGAGGCUCGCCUUGGUACAUUCACAUAGCAGAGCCGUCCGCACCAAGUGACGACCCAAGAUGGUUUAAAAUGUCCUGGUGGAGGUUGUGAUCUCCAGGCUCCUCCCCGUCGUUCCUCCUGCUUCCUGCAGCAGGAAGACGCUGCAGAGCAGCAGCAGCUCCCUGAGCGGCUGGGAAGCCAGUCUGGAAGACCUUCAGGUGGGAAGGAGUCGCCUUUAGCCGUGUAGCUGCUGACGUCUCAGUCAUCCCUGAUAUCUAAAACAUCCG